CUGCGGCGCAGGCUUCAACCGGCGCCGUAGUUUUAACCUGAGCAGUUGUCGUAUGGCCUCAGCUCUUAUUUUGAAGAAAUGAAACCAGCAGGGGCAUCCGGGCUGGUACCCGGACUAUCUGCGUGAUUCCUAGUGACUUGAAGUCGCUGCACAUGGACUUUUCAAGUUUGCGCUGGCAUCGACGCCGAUGGUGUCCCCUAACCGAGGGUGACCA
rfam:Pseudomonas lutea strain DSM 17257 Contig001, whole genome shotgun sequence.